rnacentral:rRNA from 1 species
CACGGGAGACACACGGCGGGUGCUAACGUCCGUCGUGAAGAGGGAAACAACCCAGACCGCCAGCUAAGGUCCCAAAGUCAUGGUUAAGUGGGAAACGAAGUGGGAAGGCUCAGACAGCCAGGAUGUUGGCUUAGAAGCAGCCAUCAUUUAAAGAAAGCGUAAUAGCUCACUGGUCGAGUCGGCCCGCGCGGAAGAUGUAACGGGGCUAAACCAUGCACCGAAGCUGCGGCAGCGACACAUAGUGUUGUUGGGUAGGGGAGCGUUCUGUAAGCCUGCGAAGGUGUACUGUGAGGUAUGCUGGAGGUAUCAGAAGUGCGAAUGCUGACAUAAGUAACGAUAAUGCGGGUGAAAAACCCGCACGCCGGAAGACCAAGGGUUCCUGUCCAACGUUAAUCGGGGCAGGGUGAGUCGACCCCUAAGGCGAGGCUGAAAAGCGUAGUCGAUGGGAAACGGGUUAAUAUUCCCGUACUGGUGGUAACUGCGAUGGGGGAACGGAGAAGGCUAGGUUGUCCGGGCGACGGUCGUCCCGGUUCAAGCAGGUAGGCAGAGUGAUUAGGCAAAUCCGGUCACUUAAUGCUGAGAUGUGAUGACGAACCACCAAGGUGGUGAAGCAAUUGAUGCCCCGCUUCCAGGAAAAGCCUCUAAGCUUCAGGUUACCAACAAUCGUACCCCAAACCGACACAGGUGGUCAGGUAGAGAAUACUCAGGCGCUUGAGAGAACUCGGGUGAAGGAACUAGGCAAAAUGGUGCCGUAACUUCGGGAGAAGGCACGCUGGCGGUAGGUAAAGUCCCUCGCGGACGGCGCUGAAGCCAGUCGAAGAUACCAGCUGGCUGCAACUGUUUAUUAAAAACACAGCACUGUGCAAACACGAAAGUGGACGUAUACGGUGUGACGCCUGCCCGGUGCUGGAAGGUUAAUUGAUGGGGUCAGCCGUAAGGCGAAGCUCCUGAUCGAAGCCCCAGUAAACGGCGGCCGUAACUAUAACGGUCCUAAGGUAGCGAAAUUCCUUGUCGGGUAAGUUCCGACCUGCACGAAUGGCGUAAUGAUGGCCAGGCUGUCUCCACCCGAGACUCAGUGAAAUUGAACUCGCUGUGAAGAUGCAGUGUACCCGCGGCAAGACGGAAAGACCCCGUGAACCUUUACUAUAGCUUGACACUGAACAUUGAGCCUUGAUGUGUAGGAUAGGUGGGAGGCUUUGAAGUGUGGACGCCAGUCUGCAUGGAGCCAACCUUGAAAUACCACCCUUUAACGUUUGAUGUUCUAACCUAGGCCCAUAAACUGGGUCGGGGACCGUGUCUGGUGGGUAGUUUGACUGGGGCGGUCUCCUCCUAAAGAGUAACGGAGGAGCACGAAGGUUGGCUAAGCAUGGUCGGACAUCAUGCGGUUAGUGCAAAGGCAUAAGCCAGCUUGACUGCGAGAGUGACGGCUCGAGCAGGUACGAAAGUAGGUCUUAGUGAUCCGGUGGUUCUGAAUGGAAGGGCCAUCGCUCAACGGAUAAAAGGUACUCCGGGGAUAACAGGCUGAUACCGCCCAAGAGUUCAUAUCGACGGCGGUGUUUGGCACCUCGAUGUCGGCUCAUCACAUCCUGGGGCUGAAGUAGGUCCCAAGGGUAUGGCUGUUCGCCAUUUAAAGUGGUACGCGAGCUGGGUUUAGAACGUCGUGAGACAGUUCGGUCCCUAUCUGCCGUGGGCGCUGGAGAACUGAGGGGGGCUGCUCCUAGUACGAGAGGACCGGAGUGGACGCAUCACUGGUGUUCGGGUUGUCAUGCCAAUGGCACUGCCCGGUAGCUAAAUGCGGAAGAGAUAAGUGCUGAAAGCAUCUAAGCACGAAACUUGCCCCGAGAUGAGUUCUCCCUGACUCCUUGAGAGUCCUGAAGGAACGUUGAAGACGACGACGUUGAUAGGCCGGGUGUGUAAGCGCAGCGAUGCGUUGAGCUAACCGGUACUAAUGAACCGUGAGGCUUAACC